UUUUCUGCUGAUAUUCUGUCACACUUAUGUCCUUUCUGCUUGGUUCUCAUUUCCUUCCUCUCAGGAUCAUAUGGCCAAUCUUGUCCAGCUAGGAGAACUUCCUUGCGUAGGCGUGCUCGAUGGCGAGCACUGAUGCCCAAUGGUUUCCAUGCCCCAAGUUCCCAGUAACCCCAAACUCCCUUGGAAAGCUCGGCUUUGUAUUUUGCCAACUUCUCUUGCCAUUGAUAUUGAUUUUCUCC
rnacentral:lncRNA from 1 species